rnacentral:lncRNA from 1 species
CAUAAAUGAAGGUAAUUCUGAAGAGUGGGACUGUCAAAAAAAAUUGGGCAAGCCUGAAAAUCCAGUUUGGGUUGGAAAUGACGGUUUCAUCCCACAGACCAGGUCCUGACCUUCUCUUGUGUUUGAUACCCACGUCCAAUAUCCGAUGGCCAUCGUAUUGUUUAGGGGCCGAGAAGGACGGGAAGACUUGGGCUAAGCAAAUUCUUGUUGGGUCAGAUGAUUUUGAAAUCCUGGAAAGGCUUGUCAGAAUGAAAGUGUUACGAGGUCCUUCCGCAGGUCUUCUCUAGGGAAGAGGAAGAGGAACAGAUGGUAGCAUGCCUCCAGGCUCGUGAAAAGGGGAGAGCCGAGAGUCCCAGGGAAUCAGGAAUACACACAAAUCCAGCGGAAGUUUGGACCUUGGGGCUUUCAGAGGCGUGGAGGUCAAGGCUCAGGUUUCCCCUGAUGUGUCCUUUCAAGGGGUUGGCUUCCAAACAUGGAAGAUCUAAGAGAACAAGUAAGGCAUGACGGCAACUGAACCUGCCUACUGGUGCUGGAAUGCUGAACAGACAGGUCAGGUCUGACAACAGCAGCCACAUCCACUCACAGACCAGACGAGCAUCAGGCAACAGUGUAUCCAGGUACAGGAACCAGGAGGAAGAUUUCAAGAUUCUUCAAGUCAUACCAUCUGGCCAACCAUUCCAGAAAUGCUUAACUAUUGCCCUCUAACCUGGCUGCCCAGAAAGUCUCAUUUUAAGAUAAGAGCCAGGAUCUUACACUCUCAUAUGGGAAGCAAACCUUAAAACACUUCUGAACAAUCAAAGCUAAUUUACAAAUUUCACAAAGUAAAAUUCAUGGAUAGAAACCCAGCAAGGAUAUGGAAGAACAGAACAAUACCAUCAACCGCUGAAUCUAAUUGACAUUUAUAGAACACUCUGCUCAACAAGAGCAGAAUGCACAUGCUUUUCAAGUGCACAUGGAACAUUCACCAAGGUAGACGAUAUCUUGGGUCAUAAACCUUAUGGAUGUCUCCCAUGAAACAAAGACCUUCAGACCCUCACUCAGAAACGAGUCUUAUUUUACAUAAAAUUGAUGGACCAUCUGGAGUCUCUGACCACAGCAUGACAGAAGAGAAAGCAGAAUUGCUACAUGAUAGGCAAUGCUCAUCAGUAAUAGCUGGCUGCCAAGCCAUUUGGGAGGAGACAAAAGAGCUAUAAAACAUGGACACAAGGCCCAGAGCACAGCAGUCUGGGGCCAUCUAGUUCAGGGGCAAAGUGUACCAAGCUCAGAACUGCCUGAGGCACUCCUGCACUAGUACCCUCGGUGGUUUAGUAGAAAGAGUAUGGGAGACAGCUGAAGAGGGUUUGGUCCUGGCUGUGUCACUAACCCACAAGAGGCUGUGAGCCAGUCCCUCUCACUUCUUCUUUCUCGGAACUAACUUCCUCUUGGGCAAAAUGGAGUCACCAGAAUCUAGUGACUAGAUCUCCAAGAUGAUUUCCAC